UCAACUUGAGAGUUUGAUCCUGGCUCAGAACGAACGCUGGCGGCAGGCCUAACACAUGCAAGUCGAGCGAGACCUUCGGGUCUAGCGGCGGACGGGUUAGUAACGCGUGGGAAUAUACCCUUCACUACGGAAUAGCCUCGGGAAACUGGGAGUAAUACCGUAUACGCCCUUUGGGGGAAAGAUUUAUCGGUGAAGGAUUAGCCCGCGUCUGAUUAGAUAGUUGGUGGGGUAAUGGCCUACCAAGUCUACGAUCAGUAGCUGGUUUGAGAGGAUGAUCAGCAACACUGGGACUGAGACACGGCCCAGACUCCUACGGGAGGCAGCAGUGGGGAAUCUUAGACAAUGGGCGCAAGCCUGAUCUAGCCAUGCCGCGUGAGUGACGAAGGCCUUAGGGUCGUAAAGCUCUUUCGCCAGAGAUGAUAAUGACAGUAUCUGGUAAAGAAACCCCGGCUAACUCCGUGCCAGCAGCCGCGGUAAUACG
rnacentral:rRNA from 1 species